GCAUCACAUCCAUGUAGAUGACUGGAUCCUCAUUGUUCUCAUCGAGCUCAAUAAGAUCCCCAUCUCGGAUCAAAAAAUCGAAGUAUCUGUCUGACUGAUGCGGUACUCUAUCGGAUCAUCUUAAGGGUGGUUUUAUAUUGGGUAUAGGAUUUGAUCUAAUCAAAUCUGGUUCAAAUUCAGUCACUAGUGUCGGUUCUUCUAUCUGUCGAACUUCAUCAAGUUCGAUUUUAGAGGCACUUGUUCUUUCACUAAAGAACUCUUUUUUCAAAACAUAUGCCUUACUGCUAACAAAUAUCUUUUGCUCAGUAGAGAGAUAAAAGUAAUAUCUUCUUAUUUCUUUGGG
rnacentral:lncRNA from 1 species